GGUCAUUACAAAGUAUUGAGGAGAGCUCCUUGUGCUAUACAAGUGAAGAGAAGCCCACAUUAAAAUGAGAUGGGAUGAGAAGAAGAAAGAAGGAAAUCCGUGUGAUCCUGGAGGAAAACCCUUUGAAUAGAACCAAGGCGGAGAUUGGAGGACACUCAUGAAGGACGUGCUUCCUCUUGGAGAAGAUGCAGCCAGGAAAGAGGAAGAUGUGAGACUGAGGACACAGGGGUCCCACCCGGGACAGAAGUGGAGGGAACUCCCAGGAGGGCUUCACCUGUCGUCAGACCCAGACCGCUCUGCCCCUUCACCCGGCCUCUCGUCGCCUCCCCACCUUCCUCCCACCCGACCACGUCACCAACGUGCCGGGGAGGGUAGGGGAAGCAUGGGGUGUGACUCACUGGCCUGGCAGGCGUCACGUGACUCCCAGUGGUGUCUCCGUGGACUUGCCUCUCCGGGAACUGAGCAGUGGGCCUGCCCCUCCCCCCAGCGCAUCACACUGAAGAAUUCAUACCGUGCCCGGGAGGGACCAGCGUUUAGACACCUGUAGAGCUGACUGUACCCCCAUGUUAUCUGGAAGAACAACACUGCAAACCUGGGUAUUAAAAUGGCUUCUUCAUAAAGUCACAGUCACACCAGAUCAUAAAGACAGGUCUUAGUGAACAGUAGUUACAGAGUGACAAGCGUUAGACGAUUCCACAGCACAGGAGAAAUAAGAAAUCUCAACAGUUUUCAAAUAUAUUAAAUGAAGGGGAAAAUAAAGGAAAACGCCUUCCCCUAAAAUGGAAAGCAAAAGAACAGAAUAUGUAUUUUUCAUGUUUGAGUUCAUUAUUUUUGCUGAAGACUGCUUCUGUGAACAGUCUUGCACAAUCCCCGUGAGAGAUGGAUGGAUGGAAAGGAAAGGUUGCAGAGGAAGAGGAAUAAUGGACCAUUACCCAGCAGAGGAUCGGUUCCCUUAGGCGUCUCUGGGCCACUUUAGGCAUUGGCAGGCGUCACAAUGGGGCAUGAGCCGUCAUGUGAGAGGUUCCAGAGGACAGAAAAAGUCUCCUGAGGUUCCUCGAAAAGAACAGUAUUGCCACCUUUUAAAAGGGAUGGCCUAGGACCUAGUUAUAGACUGUUCAUCUUGGAAUCAGUAUCUGGGAAGUUACUGGAACAAAUCAUUGAGUAAUCCGCUGGCCACCCACCAGGAGGGCAGAAGACACUGGGAAGGAACAACAAAUGUUUCUGGAAGAGCAAAUGUAAUUGGCAAAAUCCAAGGCCCCCCUCCAAGUCUUCAGGGUGCAAAGGGACCCCGGGAGAUGGGCCUGGGGGUCGAGCACUGUGGUGACUAGGGAAUCUGCUAAUGUAAAAAAACUGUCCCAGAGUAUUGUGAGACACACUUGAGUGAGUACUAAUAGUGUAUUUAGACACGAUACCAGUUUCAGCAAAUCUUUCCAAAUGAGAAAGAGAAAUGCCACAUGUAUAUAAUAGGGUAUGAAAUUUAAAGGGCAAAAUCCGGGCAAGGCUGACCCUGGACAGCUUGGGACAAGAAGCUUUAGGGCCACGCGGGGGGCACCAGUUUCCAGACGUGAAGCUAUUUGUUUUCUACCCAAAUCCAGAGGGCCCUACAAAUCAAAAUCCAACCAUAGCAACCAAGAGGGGGAAGGCAAGUUGCGGCGCGAAUGUUGGAGAAGAAUUGCCUGGAACACUUUAUUCUCCUCCUUAAUCACAGCGGGAAAAUGGUUCACGUUCUCUGCCAAACAGUGUUCUAAGGGCUUCCAUCUUCUAACUCAUGUGAUCCAGACAGUAACGCCCUGAAGGUGGGACUCUUAUUAUCUCCAUUUUACAGACAGGGACACUGAGGCUUUGAGAAGUAAAGCAACACGUCUGAGAUCACACAGCUAAAAAGCUGCCAAUAGGAAGACCGUUAUCGGAAACUCAAGAACACAGUGGAAGUUUCUGUUCCUUAAUGUUUCUCAAGCUCGUUCACGUGGACUGUCAACCUAUCCAACGAAGUAUCAUUAAAUAUGACUUUCUGUGCGAGAUCAAAUAGUAUAUUUGCUUUUACUCACCUCUGCGUAAAAAAGCAACAGGCGACAUCCGCCAGCUCCAAUUUCAGCGGCAGGACAGGCUGCCCCAGAGCCAGGCUUUGUGCCACGGAAGCAGUGAGCCUGAAAGAUCUGAACCUGAGGACGGAGGCGAGCACGGUUCUGCACUCACAUCUCUCGUGGUGAAGGAGUCGUGGGUCCGUGCGGGCUGCUGGUCGGCAGAACGCAGAGGCAGAUGAUAGAAGCAGCGGGAGGGAGGCCAGGCCCUCCCCACUGGUCCAGCACAAGGUCCCCCGUGUGUCCUGCGGGCCACGCUGUGCAUCCACUUGUGCCCAAGUCGCUAACCUGGCCGCCCAGCAGCAGCUCCGAGCUCGCGGCCAGCACUGUCCGCGGUCGCCAGCUAAGAGCCGCUGUGCGUGUCCUCCAACCUGGGAAGGGCAGCCACGGGGGGACACCCACAGGCGAUCUUCUGAGGCCCGUGGCAGAGACCCCGUCGGGGUAAGAUGUGGCUCCUUUGUGUUUGCCACGCUUUACAAGAAAACUUGAUGUGAAAUGUAGAAGGCACUCACUCACCUCGGUCAGUGUCACACUUCCACGGGGCUCUUGUCACACAGGGAAGCUUCUGGAACACGCAGAGCAGUUAGUGCUAGAUGGAGACGACGCCUGCCAUCGUCUGCUGUGAAAAUCCCACCGUGUCCACGCUGCCCGCGGCCGGCCUUCUGUGCUGAGACCGAUCCGAUAUUAAACUGUGAAAUCUGAUGCCAGCGUAAGGGAGAGUGUUGAUGAUACCAGCUCCCACUCUCCGAGAGCCUUCGGUUCCAUGCACUGUGCGUUGCUAUGAGUGCUCCAACCUUACGAGACAGGGAGCACCGUACUCAUUCACAGAGGAAGCGGUUGGCACGCAAGAGGCCGGCGGUUUACCCAGAUCACACAGCACCGAAGUCACAGAGCCGGAGUGAAACGUGAAUGUGAUUGCAAAACGCACGUUCAAUCUGGUCCACUCUGCUGCAGAAGGUCUCAGACAGGACAUGCUGAGCUCUGGAAAAUGGGAAUAAACAGGGAAAGAACAAUUUUUGGCAGAGCCAAAGAAAAUGAUAUGAUAAGACAGUGCAGGGGUUUGCAGUUCAGGACUAGGAUGGGAUGGACACACAUCACCCUGUCCCCCCUCUAAGUACAGCCAGAAUCCCUGCACGUGAUGUGAAACAAACAUGCAAAGACUCUGAAAAGUGAAGAGAACAGGCAGACCUGCCAGGCGCGAGAGUGCGCUCCUAGACCCUGAACUGGAUACAGGGAACCAGCAGCCCGGGAGCCCCAGUGGGCACAGACCAGAGGGCCCAAGUAGAGUCUGCUGUCUCUGGCCAGAGGGGCGACCUAGCAGGACAGAGGAUUUUGACUCAACUACUGCCCUACACCUUCCGAACUCCAUGGAGAAAUCCACGACCAUCACUCCCGCCCCCGACCCCAGCAAAGGCUGAGGGGGGACCUAGGGCCAGAACGUUUACUACCGUCUAGUGGGAAGAAGGCUGACACCAGCACAGCCGGGUCGUCGGAGAGGCCCAGGGCAAGGCUGGGUACCACCCUUGCACCCCUUCCUCAGGGAAACUGGUCGUCCCCUGACCCGGCAGCAAGAAUGGCGCCCCUCGCCCUGUUAGUGUGGUAUCAGAGGAAGCCUUCCGAAGCAGAAGUCGUCAUAACAGAAUAAUCCAAAUAUCCAGGUUAUAAUAAAAAGGUUACUCAUCAGACCAAGCACCAGGAGAAUCUCAGCCGGAGCGAGAAGAGAUGUUCAGCAGAUACCAACACCAAGAUGACCCAGAUGUUGGUUAUUUGACAAGGAUUUUAAAGCACCCUCAAAAUAAACUGCUUCAACAAACCAUGACAAACACACUUGAAACAAACAACAACAACAAAAGUAGAAACUCUCAGCAAAGAAAUAAAAGACACAAAGAAGAACCAAAUGGAAAUUUUUAUAACUGAAAAAUGCAAUCACUGAAAUGAAAACCUCAGUGGACCGGCUCAAAAGCAGACUGGAGAGGACAGAGGAAAGAACCAGUGAACUUGAGGAUGGACAGCAGAAAUUUCCCCAUCUGAGGAAAAGAGAAAACAGACUGGAAAAAAGAACGUGGGCAGAGCCUCAGGGAGCUGUGCACCUAGAACAAAAGAGCGAACAUCCUGUCAUCAGAGUCCCAGGAGGAGGAGAAAGAAGUGGGCCCAGAAAGGCAUUCCAAGAAAUGUGGAUGAAAAGUUCCCCAGUGUAGCAAAAGACAAACACCUACACAUCCAAGAAGCAGAGUGAACCCCCAACAGUAUAAACCCCAAAACUGCCUGACAGGAAGAUCAUACUCCAACUCCAACCCCCUUGCAGGGCUUCCUAUUGCUAAAUGGUAAGAACAUUUUAUUUUUUAUAUCACAGAAUUAAAUAAUGAUAUAAAAAUUUUCCAUUUAAGAUAGAAUAAUUUUCUAUCAUGUAUCUAAAAGCAUAUUAACUAAGUACAUGUGAUAGUGGACAUAUAAAAAUAUAAAUAUUAUAGACACAUAUCAAUUGGCUUUUAAAUAACAAAAUGCAAGAAUUCCAAAUAGACUAUGUGCUUUUUGCUGUUUUUGAUAUUAUGACAUGUAGAUAUAUGUCCAUCUACAUUUUAGGAUAUGUAAUGAGCUGAAACCAAACAAGAUAUAAUAUCUUAUUUGAAAAUGCAUUUGUCAACAAAUCAUGCUUUUACCACGUAAUUAUUUUAAAAUAAAUUAAAUGGAGAAUAUCACUGUUGCCAUAGGGACAGUUGAAAUGCAUCUUUAUGUAUAAUCAAAAUGAUCAACAUUUGUGUUAAAAUGAACGUUAUAAUGAAAUCUUUAGUGACAUACCAAUCAAAAAAUGCUUUUUUAACUUACUGCUUCUUCAUUAUGUACCAUGCAAAAAUAAUCAUAUGAUU